rnacentral:lncRNA from 1 species
UGUUUCUCAUAUUUCCAACUUUUUUGUUCUGUUUUGUCGUAUUUAAAAACUUUUUUGUUAGCCAUUUUGCAGUGACGAUCUGAUACGUGCAGAUUGAAGCCAGUACUCUAUACGCAGAUCAUGUAGCUUGUUUUGUGGUGGAUCUCGCUGCUACCUGAUUCACUACUUGAGGAUUAUGUUUUAAAGUAUCUUGUUUAUAGUGUAAACUGUAAAUUUGACUUUACUUUUAUGUUGUCGAGCUUUUUUCAUGAAACUACCGAAUCAUUUAGAUCAAAAGGUUUUAGCUUCUUAAAUCUUUCUACUUAACCUAAAUUAAUGAUAUACCAGUAAACAUUAUAAGUAACAGAGCUAUAUUAUACAUCUUGAGCAAAUCUAACUUUUAUAUUUGAAUGACUACUAACCCAGAAAACUCACUAGUAGUACUAGCUGUUUGUUUGAUAUUUUGAUAGUUGGCAACGUUGAUAUAAAUUAGAGUAAAUUACAAGUUUUGUUUUUAAUACAAGUUUUGUUUUUAUAUUACAGGCGCUUUUUUUUAGCGCAAAAGUUUAAAUAUUU